UUCAUCUGUCACGUGGGUGGCCGGUCUUGGUCGCCUCUCCACGGUGCUCCACCUCCCGGCUGAUUUUUCUCCUGAGGUUUUCCUUUCUGUCUUGGUUGUCGGAGAGGCUGCACACAGCUCUGGACGCUGGAUUCUAGGCCAUUGCUUCCUGGGCCCUUUGCUCCAUUCAUGGAGGAACCGCCAGGAGGCAUUGGGUACCAAGCUGGACAUGGGAUGGAGAAAGUGAGCAGGAAAGACACAGCAGCAUGGGGUGAGGCUUCCUGAGGACCUGGCGGGCAAGGAGCUGCCCGUGAGGGAAGGCCGGGUGCUGCCAGCUGAGACACAGUAGUGAGGUCAUCUUCUUUAAGCUACCUGCCUGCUCUCUCAGAGCCAGCUUCCCCACCCAGAAAAUGGAAGACGUCACGACCUGGUCUCCCUGCCUCCUCCUUAGCCUCUGAUGCUUCCUUUCCUACACAUGAGCUGGAGUGAUUCUGUAAGACCUAAGUUAGCCCCUAACUUUGUUCUGCUCAAAACCUUCUAGUGGCUUCUCACGUCAUCCUGAAUCAACAUAAAGUCUUUAUUAACACUAAGUCCUGCAGGUUCCAGCAGCUCUCCCUCCCUCCGCCAACCUCCUCUCCCCAACAACCCCUUCUGCUGUAGCCACGCUGAGCAGCUCACUCUUGCACACAAAGACACCUGCCUCAGGGCCUUCACACUGGCUGUUUUAUUCCCGCUGCCUGGAAGAUCUCCCCCUACACCCUCCUCCCACACGUCCUUCCGACCUUGCUCAAAUGCCUCCUCCUUUGAGAGGCUGCCCCCAAUACCCCUCUCUCCACCAUCACUCUUUGUCCCCUGACCCUCUCAUUUGCCUUCCACUUGAUACAAUGUAUCUUUUUCCAUUUCCUGUUGGUUCUCUUCUAUUCUGUUCAUGGCUGGAUCUCUACACCUAGCCCAGCACCCGGCAUAUAGUAGCUGCUCAGUGAAUAUUGGUGAAGUGUGUGGAAUUAGUUUAAUCCCAUACCCCUCGGGAAGCCUCUGAAGAUGGAAUCUUGGAAGAAAUUCACUGGAAAUGGACAUUUCUCCAGGCUGUUGCACUUGAAGAGUGAUUUCCUGCUGGGAGAACCAGUCCCCCCACCACGUUUGCCACCAUCAGAACUGCCUGAGAGGGCCCAGUGAGUGUCUGAAUCACCAUGGCAAACCUUACUUGAAUGUUUUGGAGAUUUCUGCUGAUCGUGACGGACUGGAUUUAGGGGGAAUCCAGCCAUGGUUUCCAGCCAUGUUGCUCAGAUGCUGGGAGGUGGAGAGAAUCCCGCUGAGGUUCUCACCUCCAUUCUCCAGGGCAUUUCUGAAAGCAGAGUUUCCGUCUCAUCGUUGAGCCAAGCAUCCCAUUAGAGCUCAGAAAUGACAUACGAAAACCAUAAAAACAGGCAUUGCCCUGUGAGGCGACAAUUCUGCUUUUAGGAAUUUAUCCUAAAGAAAUAACUAAUGAUGUGAUUAUAAAAGAAUUAGCUCCAAGGACAUUCAUCACAAGCCUGUUUAUAGAUUGAGAAACUGGAAACAAGCUAAAUGUCCAACAAAAAGGGGUUCGUUAAAUGUGGCACAACUGUGCAAUGGGAGACUAAUGACGACCUCAUGAAAUACCACAGCCUGGGGUCGAAGCUAGCCCACCUCCUGUUUUUGUAAAUAAAGUUUUAUUGGACAUAGCCACACCCAUUAAUUUACAUAUCAUCUGUGGCUGCUUCUGCACUAAAAUGGCAACAUUGAGAAGUUGCAGCAGACACCGUAUGGCCCACAAAGCCGAGUAUAUUUACUGUCUGGCACUUUACAGAAGAUGUUUGCAGACUCCUGCUAUUGGAUGACAAGGAAAAAUUCGUAAUGCCCUGCCCAGUAGGAAUAUGUUACAAAACUGUGCAAUUUUCAUAAUCCCAGUGGUGACUUAAAAGGACUGUGUAUAUACAUAUAUGUAUUUUUUUUCUUUGUGUCAUGGAAUUUUGAAUGAUUUGGAAGAGCAUACCUAUAUUUUCUAACUUUACCUGCUCCUGAACACAGCCUGAGGCAACUUACUUCCAUCCUGGUCUCAAUUCCUGCCAUGUCCAGUGCUUCCUGGGACGACUCUGGAUGGUGGUGGCCUCCAAGAUGCCCCCCGAGGCCUCUGCCUUAUGUGGCCCUCACUGAAUCACAGCUGAUCCAGGUGACCAGUAGAGUAGAAGGUGAUGCUGGGUGACGUCUGAGAUUGGGUCACAGAAAGACUUCCAGCCUCACUGUGGUCUCUCAGAAGCUCUGACUUAGGAGCUCUUCGCUGCCCUAUGGGAAAUCGGUUUCCUCAUGUCCACCAUGCUGGAGACACCCCAGGAGGGUCUAUGUGAAGAGACAGAAAUGCCAGCCCCAGCCACUCCAGGCACCUAGAAGACGCCUCUGACAACAUGGAGCAGAGAUGAGUCAUCCUCACAGAGCCCUAUCCAAACUGCAGACGCAUAAACAAAAUAAAUGGCUACUGCUGUUUUAAGCCAAUAAGUUUUGGAGCUGUUUGUUACACAGCAGUGGAUAACGAGAAACCCUGCCAGAUAACAAGCUGUCCUUGAAUCCCGAUCUCAGAGUCUGUUUCUAGGUAACCUCACCCAAGCCCUCUGUGAGCAUCUAAUGAGUCGUGCGUGCAGUAGCUGUCCUGGAACGCAUGCUAUCGUCGGUGACUAUUCAUGUCUCAAUGCUAACCUACCCCAAGAGCUUUACAGAGAUGUCCAACCACACUUUAACAGGAGCACUGCACAGCACCUGGCCAGGGGCCAAAGGGAGUAGGGACUCUGGCAAGCUGGAGGACAUGGGGGCAGUGGAGAAAGUGGCUCUCACCAAGCCUUCACAAGAUGCUGCAUAUUUUUCUUGGGCCAGAGUCACUAACCAAAAUGUAGCUGGAGGCACAUAGAAUUCACAUGCAAUGAUGCUUCGCACAAGGCCACAGCAAAUUGAAAUCACUUGGCAGCUGCACCCUGGGGCUCUGUGAUGGUGCCUGUCACCAAGAUCGUGGACUGAGGUCCAGCUCAGUCUGUACCCCACAGCAGCACCUCAUCUGUGGAAAGGGCUGCAGAUGUGGGGAGAAGAGGGCCUACCCUUUUAGAAGAGGCCAAAAAGUCAGAAUUUCAAGCUAGAGUGGAAAGACACACUGCAGGGGAGCUGCCAGGAAGAAGAGUGAUUUGAUUUCUUAACGGGAGACUCCAAAGGAGUCAGCCCGCGGAGACAAAAUCAAAAGAGGCCCGGACUUGGGAGCACAGCCUGGGAACGCAGGCGGGGGCCUCUGGGACUCUUCCAGCUCAGACCAGGCCUGUGUCUGGGGCUUCUGGGGGCAGCCUGGGAACUGGAAUUUUCUUGUUCCAUAAUGGACUUCUCGGACCCUGCAGGUGGCCUGCCCGGGAUGGCACUCCCUGUGGUAUCAGUGGCUCCUGUCACGGAGGGCACAUGCUGGCUCCAUGCUCAGGCUGUCCUGUAAAUCAUCUCACCGAAUCCCCACUGUGUCCUUACAGAGCAAGCACGCAUGCCUGUGUCCUCCAGAGAAGCAAGCCAGGCCCGAGGAAUGGGCGGCCGAUGGCUCCAGGAAGGUCACUGACUUUGGAGGGAACUUGGGAUCUCCUCCCCACUCUCUCUGUCCUCAAGGCCCAUCUUUUUAAAAUCAACUUUUUGGGAUGUAAUUGACAUAUAAUAAAACCAUCUUAGGUGUACAGCUUGAUGAAUUUUGUCCCACGUAUACAGCUGGGUAACGACAGGAAUCUGGACAUGAGGUUUGCGUGGGCAGCCAAGCUGGGGCCUCAGGAUGCCCUUCGUUCUGAACUUGGCUGCCAUGCCAGGGCCUCGGGAUGCCCUUCCUUCUGAACUUGGCUGCCUGGCCAUCUCACAGUUCCACUUUGUCAACUCUUUGAAGUCUGGGAGAAGUGACUCACCUGAAUUUUUUUUCUUUUCUACAUUCCCACCAUUGUCCCAUCUCCUUCCCUGCUUUGGACAAAGAUUUCUCUUUUCCACGUGAUGGGAGGGGGAUUGUAAACAUCCCAAGCUUUGGAAUCAAAAGACCUAGGCUCACACCGCAGCCCUGCUAUGUGACUCCGGGCACGUGACUUAACUUCUCUGGGCUCCUUUCUUCAUCUGUGUAAAACAGAGAUCAUAAUGGACCCUCUAAGGUCAUUGGGAGACUAAAAGGAGGUAUUAUAUGCAAACAAUAAAUAUUAUUAUUUUGAAUUGCACUGGCUUUAAUGACACAAAUGUGAAGAAAAGGGUAGGAUUGUAGGGGAAGCCUGGGAAAAGGAGAGAUUAAAAGACAAAAACAAUUUCAACUUUUCUGAAAA
rnacentral:lncRNA from 1 species